AUAUCCCAAGUAAUCUGCCAAGUUUCCCCUUCACACCAGCCUGCACCAAAAAAAAGUGCAUUAAAAGUUGGCAAUAUUUUUUUAUUAUCAUUGUCUUUAUGCUGGCAAUCACAAUUGAUUUACUGAAAACAUUGUAUUUUAUUCAACAGCUUAUUUUAGUGUUCAAUUUAAGAGUAUUGCUAUCGUAGCAUUGCCACAUUUCUGUGAGAUAGCAUAACAGAGCAGACAUUACAACAUGCGCAUUUCCAACUGGCUAAAUUUGCUGAAUGGCAAGCCAGCAAUUAACUUUGCUUUGCACCCAUCAAUAUUGAUUAUUUAUUUACAGUGCCACCAAAAAGUAAUCACCCCUUCUCUCAUUUUCCACAUUUUGUUAUGUUACAGAUUGUUGUUCUUUUCUUACUGAAAAUCUACACCAAAUAGUUGAAUUAAAAACAAGUUUUCCAACAUCUUUGCUAAUUCAAAUAAAUGUGAAUUACUAAGGCUGCAUGGUGGCACAGUUGGUUGCACUGCACUUGCCUUGCAGCAAGAAUGUCCUGGGUUCAAAUCCAAGCCUAGGGGUUUUCUGCAUUAAGUUUGAAUAUUCUCCACGUGCAAGCAUGGGUUCUCUCUGGGCUUCCUCCCACAGCCUAUUUUUG